UAAUACAUGCGCAAAUAUCUUUUUUCGCAAGAAAGAGGAUAGUGUUUAUUAGAUACAGAACCAAUACACCAUCUGUUAACAGCAGGUGGUGUAAAAAAGGUGAUUCAUAGUAACCGAACGGAUCGCAUUAUGGUCAUUUUAUAUGGCUGGCGAUAGAUCAUUCAAGUUUCUGACCUAUCAGCUUUCGACGGUAGUGUAUUGGACUACCGUGGCAGUGACGGGUAACGGGGAAUUAGGGUUCGAUUCCGGAGAGGGAGCCUGAGAAACGGCUACCACAUCUAAGGAAGGCAGCAGGCGCGCAAAUUACCCAAUCCUGACUCAGGGAGGUAGUGACAAGAAAUAACAACACUGGAAAUUUUAUUUCUAGUGAUUGGAAUGAUGGGAAUUUAAACCCCUUUCAGAGUAACAAUUGGAGGGCAAGUCUGGUGCCAGCAGCCGCGGUAAUUCCAGCUCCAAUAGCGUAUAUUAAAGUUGUUGCAGUUAAAAAGCU
rnacentral:rRNA from 1 species